rnacentral:tRNA from 1 species
GUCAAUUUAGUUUUUGUAAUGUGUGCUUGUCGGGCAUAAGGAUGUUUGACG